rnacentral:lncRNA from 1 species
AAAGUGAAUCAAAAAUUAUUUAUGAAAUCCUUAGACAUGUCAUAUUCGCGUCUGCAUGAUUAUAUUUUUGUGGGGAGGAAUUGUUUUGUUUUUUUAAUUUUUGGAAAAAAAUCUUUUAAAAAUGUUUUUACUACUCCUGUUUUCAAGUAAUAUUUUUUUUAUUAUCGAAUACAAAAUUAUUUUAUUUUAACCCUGCAUACGCCCCUGUAUUCAUACUUUAAAUGAACAGCUUCACACUUUUUCAUAUCAAAACUAGUGAUCACUCUAAACUACCAAAUAACACUACGAAAGAAAUCUCUCAAGUAUUUUGAUGGGGAUUCAUUUAAUACUGUUUAAUUUUUAUGAAGAUGCUCCUUAAAGAACAGAUCGUAUAACGAAUACGGAAUGAACUUGACUUAUUCCUUAUUCUUGCUCCGCGCUCUUUCUUCCCAUCAUCAUAUUAUUCAAAUAACAACUUCAAUCAAAUAAAUUGUACUGAAUUAAAAUUUAUAGGGUUUAGAACGAUCAUGGAUCUUGUUAAAAUAUUUAGUCUACUCUUCCUUGUGCUACUAAGCAUGUGCGUUCACUCUUCGGAGACUCAAGCAGUACGCAAAUGAUCUCCACCAACAAGGACAGAUAAGAAGCCCAAAUAAUCAAGGCAUCAUCAUCUAGUUCUCAUUUAUCUUUUAAGUAAAUUUAUUCCUCAAAAAAUACUUAUUACUCUCCUUCAAUAUCAUGAAGUUGUGAUAUCCUUUAAAACUAAAAUGUGAUUUUUAAUGAUUACAUAUGGGAUUCAUACUGAUGUUAAUUUUGAUUGAAGGAGAUUUAUUUUUUGUGGAGUGAUUGUUGUUUAUAAUAUAUAUAUUGUGUACAAGUUGUAACUUGUAUAAACAUAUUGUACAAUUUACAAUUUUUACGUUUUAUUAUUACCUUAUUUAAUUAGAUCAUUAUAAUCGAAAAUGUAUUGAUUUGUACCAUCAUAGGAUUUUAAUCUAUUAAAAUUAAUUUUUUAUUAACAAUUAUUCUUAUUAUAAAUUCGGGCAUUUGAACUUUUUAACAUCAUUAAUAUAUUGGUCAUCUAUGGAAUAUCGUUUUCAAAUGUA